GCGUGAGUGAAGAAGGUCUUCGGAUUGUAAAGCUCUUUUACCAGGGAUGAUAAUGACAGUACCUGGAGAAUAAGCUCCGGCUAACUCCGUGCCAGCAGCCGCGGUAAUACGGAGGGAGCUAGCGUUGUUCGGAAUUACUGGGCGUAAAGCGCACGUAGGCGGCUACUCAAGUCAGAGGUGAAAGCCCGGGGCUCAACCCCGGAACUGCCUUUGAAACUAGGUAGCUAGAAUCUUGGAGAGGUCAGUGGAAUUCCGAGUGUAGAGGUGAAAUUCGU
rnacentral:rRNA from 1 species